AAACGGCCCCACACCUAUCUCAUCUCCCUUCACUGACUCUCUUUUCGGACUCAGCCUGCCUGCACCCAGGUGAUUAAAAAGCUUUAUUACUCACACAAAGCCUGUUUGGUGGUCUCUUCACACGGACGCUCUUGACAUUUGGUGCCAUGACUUGGAUCGGGAGACCUCCCUUGGGAGAUCAAUCCCCUGUCCUCCUGCUCUUUGCUCCAUGAGAAAGAUGCACCUGUGACCUCAGGUCCUCAGACCAACCAGCCCAAGGAACAUCUCACCAAUUUUAAAUCAGGUAAGUGGCCUCUUUUUAUUCUCUUAUCCAGCCUCUCUCACUAUCCCUCAACCUCUUUCUCCUUUCAAUCUUGGCACCAUCCUUCAAUCUCUCCCUUCUUUUAAUUUCAGCUCCUUUCCUUUUCUGGUAGAGACAGAGAAGAUGUGUUUUAUCCAUGAACCCAAAACUCUGGCGCCAGUCACGGACUCAGGAAGACAGUCUUCCCUUGGUGUUUAAUCACUGCGGGGAGGCCUGCUUGAUUAUUUACCUACGUUUCAGAGGUGUCUAAUCACUGCAGGGACACCUGCCUUGAUCCUUCACCCUUAGUAGCAAGCACCACUUUCCUGGGGGGCAAGCACCCCCCACCCCUUCUCCCAUGUCUCUACCCUCUCAUCUCUGGGCUUGUCUCCUUCACUAUAGGCAACCUUCCACCCUCCAUUCCUCCUUCUUCUCCCUUAGCCUGUGUUUUCAAGAACUUAAAAGCUCUUCAACUCACACUUGACCUAAAACCUAAACACCUAUUUUCUUCUUGACCGCUUGACCCCAAUACAAACCCGACAAUGGUUCCAAAUAGCUAGAAAAUGGCACUUUCAAUUUCUCCAUCCUACAAGAUCUAGAUACUUCUUGUCAUAAAAUGGGCAAAAGGUCUGAGGUGCCUGACGUCCAGGCAUUCUUUUACACAUUGGUCCCUCCCUAGUCUCUGUUCCCAAUGUAACUAAUCCCAAAUCUUCCUUCUUUCCCUCCUGCCUGUCCCCUCAGUCCCAACCCCAUGUGUCACUGAGUCUUUUCAAUCUUCCUUUUCUACCGACUCAUCUGACCUCUCCCCUCCUCCCCAGGCUGCUCCUCCUCAGGUCGCUUACCGUCAGGCUGAAUCAGGCUCCAAUUCUUCCUCGGCCUCCGCUUUCCCACCCUAUAAUCCCUCUAUCACCUCCCCUCCUCACACCCAGUCCAGCUUACAGUUUCAUUCCAUGACUAGCCCUCCCCCACCUGCCCAACAAUUUCCUCUUAAAGAGGUGGCUGGAGCUAAAGGCAUAGUCAAGGUUAAUGCUCCUUUUUCUUUAUCCGACCUCUCCCAAAUCAGUUAGCAUUUAGGCUCUUUUUCAUGAAAUAUAAAAACCCAGCCCAGUUCAUGGCUCAUUUGGCCGCAACCCUGUGAGGCUUUACACCCCUAGACCCUGGAGGGUCAGAAGGCUGUCUUAUUCUCAAUAUGCAUUUUAUUACCCAAUCCACUCCUGACAUUAAAUAAAGCUCCAAAAAUUAGAUUCCGGUCCUCAAACCCCACAGCAGGAUUUAAUUAACCUCGCCUUCAAGGUGUACAAUAACAGAGUAGAGGCAGCCAAGUAGCAACAUAUUUCUGAGUUGCAAUUCCUUGCCUCCACUGUGAGAGAAACCCUAGCCACAUCUCUGGCACAAAAGAACUUCAAAAUUCCUAAGCCACAGUGGUCAAGCAUUCCUACAGGACCUCCUCCAUCAGGAUCUUGCUUCAAGUGCCAGAAGUCUGGCCACUGGGCCAAGGAAUGCCCACAGCCCAGGAUUCCUUCUAAGCCAUGUCCCAUCUAUGCGGGACCCCACUGGAAAUCAGAAUGUCCAACUCGCCCAGCAGCCACUCCCAGAGCCCCUGGAACUCAGGCCCAAGGCUCUCUGACUGACUCCUUCCCAGAUCGUCUCAGCUUAGCGGCUGAAGACUGACGCGGGCUGAUCUCCUCAGAAGCCUCUUGGACCAUCACAGACACUUUCAGUAACUCUUGCAGUGGAGGGGGAAGAAAGGGUGUGAUAUGUUUCCUCACCCAUCAUGAGGGUCACUGCCGAUACUCCUGUGACAAAAGACAGACAGGAGAGGGGAUCUUACAUGCUGCAUGCAGCAGGAAGUCAGCAGCGAUUUUUCAUCAGGAAAGAGAUAUGAUGUGAACUCUACCAUUGAUAUCAAAGAUGAGCAAUGGAGGAUGGAGUGUGGGCGCACUCGUCCAGAAAGCUCAUAUCUCAAAAGAUCUUCUGGCCUUCUUCCUAUGACCUCAGCUCCAUGAUGGACCCGCUGAUUACCUCUGUCACUCUUGAAAUGUAAAUAUCAUCUCCUAUUUAUGUGAUCAUGGGUUAAGGAGGCUUAGAGAUAACUAGUCCCAAAUGCAUGUGGGUGUCUAAAACCAGACUAUCUUGAU
rnacentral:lncRNA from 10 species